AAAUAGUGAACAUUAUUGUUAUUGCUUUUAAAAUCCUGGGCACUAGGUAGUCCCGCACUGUAUAGUUUUGUAGUUCUUAAAGGAAUAGGAAGUUAAUUCUGACAUAGCCUACAAAUUCAAAAUCGAAUGUCGUAGAAAUUUCUCAGAAGUCUAAAAAAAAAACUUGUACAUCAGUACUCUCUAUAUUGUCGAAUAUAGACCACAAUGCAUUGCAGUUGAAUUGAUUUUUUUAUGUAAAAAUAUAUUUUAAUGUCUUAUUAUUCACAAUAAAAUCGAUGUUGUUAUGUAUUUCCGAGGGCUAGCAGCUCAGUGCUAACGUAGCUGACCGGCGACUAUUGAUGACAUCAUCGAGUGGGACUAACGUCCGAAUUCGAAGACACUAUUGUUCCAUAACUUUCAAUGUGGAGGGUUAUAUGUAUCUUGUAGAUAUUUUUUUUUAAUUAAAACUUUUUUGUUGCAUGUUGGUAAAAAAAUAAAUAAAUAAAUAAAUUGAGAUAGUAUAGUCGUAUUACCACAAUGAGGCUCAACAAACAUGAGUGUCCACACUAAAGCUGUUUUUGUUCUUCAGCAGAUUAACUGUGAGGACAUUUUGUGUCAUAAAAGACUGUCUUCAGACUUUUAAUGCAUUCAUUUGUGUUCAGGAGCCAACUUCAGUUUAACAUAAUGAUACUCUCACGUUGCCAGAGCUAUUUUACUCCAUUUCCCAGUGCCAAUACAGGAUAAUGCUCCGCCUGAACCUCCCAUCGCUUUCAUAUAGCUCGCAAAAUGAGCUAACUUGUCAGAUUUUUUUAAAAGAAAUAUAUCAGAAUAGUUUCAAAUAUUGUGCUCAAACUCAGUGAAACCUUAACGUGUCCAUUUUCUAAAAUCGUUCAUGUCUGCUCCUGCAUUCUUUGUACGAUACGAGGCCCUGCGGUCAGGCUGACACUUUAAAGAGUCUUAUAAGCUGCUGCCAUAUUUCCUCAAAGCUUUGGUUUAUACUGGCAUUUUGUUAGUAGAUGCUCAAUUGAAUUUCUCAUUGUGAGUCUUCCUUUAAAAAAUGCCUCGUGAAAAUGCAAGUACAGAAAAAGAAGUUUAUAAGGUCCAGAAUGGACUUUAAAAGUAGUCUGUAAAAGGGCAACAUUAGGAUUCAAAUACAGCAUUUAUUGUAACAGCAAACGCUCCCAGAACACACGCAGGAACAAGUCUUCCUUAUUGAGGGAGAAAUAUGCAUAAAUCUGCUACAGAAAAAAAAAAAAAAUCUCAAUCUUUGAUGGUCCCUGACACUUUUGUGUUCUCUUUUUGUCAAUAUUGACCACUCUUUCUUUUAAAAGACAAAGACUUUUAAAGCUUCAUUCAAAGUUAUUGUUUUUCCUUGCAUUAUUUAUAAGAAUUAAUCUAUUGCUGUUGAGGAUAAAUAAGCAACUUAGUUUAUUUUAACUUUGCAUUUCAUGCAAAAAAAAGUGCUUCAUCUUUAUAUAAAAAAACAUAUUAUUUAGUAUAAAUGAAAAAGUGCUGAAAUCACCUGGAAUAAUUGAAAAUAUGAUUUAAUUGAAAUGAUAGAUGUUCCAUAAUUUUAAAAAAUGUUUUUAAAAAAAUGUAGACUUUGUUUUUGAAAGGUCCAUCUGUUUAACAGUACUCCAGAUGUCACACAGUGUAAUAAUUUGUAAUAAAGUGUAACAAAACUGUGUAUUUAUGUCUUCUUUAUUGAACUGAAACCCUUUAAACUAGAUUAGAAUAUAGUUUUUUUAAAUCUUAAAACCCUCCCAUUAACAAAGCUUACAGAAUGUUGUCAAGAGUCACACUAUGAUCCUAUUUUGAUCUAUUUUAAAGCGUUUCCACUGGUCUUUUAUUCUGCGUUCACAUCAAACGUGAUUCGUGCAGCAGAGGCGGCCAGUUUCAAUGUAAGUCAAUGGUAAAGACGCGAUUUGAGGUCCUGUGGUGAGAUUUGAGUGAUGGCAACGGCGGUCUGGCAACAGUGCAAUUUGAGUGGCUAGAGUUAAAAUAUCUGGAUUUUGGCAAGGUUGCUGCAUUGCAUCUACCAAUCAGGGACUAAGUUUUGACCAUGUGACCAGAUCAGUCAGAAAAAAUACUAAUGAAGUGCGAGUGUUUUUAUCUUGAACUUUCAUUCAUUUUCUUAACCCGCUUAGCUGCGGGGUUGCUGGAGCCUGUCCUGGCUACUGCUGGGUGAAAGCGGGUACACCCUGGACAGAUUGCCAAUCUAUUGCACCCACGGCCGCUCUCUGGCUGCCGACUAGCCAGUCGCUAGCGGAGCUUGCUAGCUCACUACAACAACAAACAGAGCUGCUGCUGGGUGGGAAGGCAAAUAUUUUUCUUAUUUUCAUCAUAUUUUCAUCUAAUUUUAUUAUCCCCCUCUCUGGUUAGUUUAGUACAGCAGCAAGCCUUCAAAUUGGGUCACAAAGACACAGAAACACAGUGGAAACGGCCGUCACACAGUGUCAGAAUGGGAGAGAAACCCCUAAUAUCUGUAGAAUCAUUGAAUGAUCACAUGAAUAAACAUGAUCUCUCAACAUCAUCCGUGUCUUCCAUAUGUAGCAGUGGUCUGUGCAGCUGCACUCAAUCUCCCAAUCACAGACUACCUGGGGAAAGGUAUAAAAAUGGUUUGGCUCACACUAUGGCAGUCUGAUGCACUGUUCCCAGCCACACCUGUUUGCCAGCUCUCCACUGGGUUGGCAAGCAAAGCCCUCCAGCACAUGGAGAGGCUUGUCUGAGGUGUGAGCAUGUAGUGCAGAUCAUUUUCCCUCCAGCCAUUCAGGUGCAGAGAGGGCACCACUGCUGUGUUUUAGUUACUGUUUUGUUGUAUUUUUAAGCUGUUGUCACAGCUAGUUUUAGUUUAUUUCUGCUCUUGUGCUGCGCGGCCAAACUGAAGCCCUGCCUGAGCACCGCCUCCCCUCAGCGGCUUCAGGCCUUCGGCGUGCCCUCCCCCUCAGCGGCUUCAGGCUUCCGGAGCGGCUUCAGGCCUUCGGCGUGCCCUCCCCCUCAGCGGCUUCAGGCUUCCGGAGCGGCUUCCCCUCCGCGGCUUCAGGCUCCCGGAGCACCCCUGGACUUUUGGACGGUUCCCUUUCCUUUUUUUUGAACUUGUACUACAUUUUAUUUAGGUGUGAGUGUGCAGGUGUGUGUGGUUACCCUACUUACCGGUUUUAUUUUUCUUUUCAGGGGAAGUGCUGGGCAGAGCGAGUUGGCUGACGACGGUGGAGGCUUUUUGUGUGUGUCCAGGUGUGGGUCCAUUACCUUUCACGCGUGUGUGUGUGCAUGUCACUGUGGGGUGAAAUCCAUUUUUGUUUUUCCUCCCCUCGUACGCCCAGCACUCUGCCGGUAAGCCUUCCCCCAGUAGGGUUUUUAUUUUUUUAGCUUUGGUUGUUUUAAUUGGUUUUAUAUUUCUUUAAUAAAACUAUUUAUUGAACUGGAACCACGUCUUGGCUGCUUGGGAAAAAAAUCUACGUGUCCUUUAUCAGGACUUCCCUUUGGGUUCCCUGGACCCUGCAUUCCGGGGUGGCGUUGUUUUCCUUUUGAGUCCUACCCAAAAUCCGCUUUGCCACACAUAUAUUGAAAGUGAGAUAAACACAGACACUAUUCCAUGUAGCAAUCAGGCUAAAAACAUUAGCUGGUAGCUCCUUCCACGGCAGUAAGCUAAGGAUCACAUUUUAGGACAGGCGGUGAGCAGUAAUUUUGCCACAUGGCAAAAUAGGGGGGGUGACGCGAAUUUGAUACGCAAAUUGCAUUCUGUGUAAGUGCAGCAUUAGCUAUGAUUAUGCUAGUUUUAGCCAAAAGCUAAAAAUCUGUGCUAUUUUCUAGGACAUAGUUUCUGCAAAACGGCAGAAGUUCAUUAGAAAUUCACCUCUAAAUUGUGGGCAGAACUGUUGGCGCGGAGUAAACCUGCCUUCUUUUCCCAUCAUCCAUCUGUUUACAAGCUCUCCUACUAGCUUACAGCCCCUCAAAACCGAACAUUAGCGGUGCAACAAAUAGAGCUGAAUAGAGCUGAGCAGGGAACUUGUGGCUUGCCGUAGU